rnacentral:lncRNA from 1 species
AGAAAACAAAGAAUUAAGAAUUAAGAAUUUAGUUUAUAAAUUUCUUAAGGAGGUAUAAGAUUCGUAAGGAUUUUGAGCGAUCCGAAUGACUCUUAUUAAUGAGUAGGUCAAAUAAGUAAGGAAUGAUGUUCUAUAACAUCAAAUUCCAAGUAAAAGUAGAAUCGUAAUCCAAAAUAUCGAUUAAAAACGAAGAACAUGCGAAGAACGCGAAGAACGCGAAGAUCGUUGUUGAUGGACAAAUUUAAAACCAUCGUAGGAUAAUUGUUGUUGAUGGACAAGUUUAAAACCAUCACGUAUAAGUUAGUUGCUUAUUGCUUGGUUAGGAACGUUAGAAAUGUUCAU